AGAAAGGGAGAAAGAAAGCGUGCGACAGGGAGUGGGAGCCCCAAGUCAAGAGGAGCCCCACAGAGGCAGCCCUGGACUUCGGGACCACAGAGGUGCUGAGUGCUGCCCGAUUCUGGAUCCCACUCUGCUUAGCUCAGAACUUUGUCAGCGAGCAAGAACAAUGCCAGGAGGUCUGGAGAAAACGUGUCAUCAGUGCAUUUCUAAAAUCGCCAGCAAUGCCUGCUUCGUUGUUGUGCUCUGUGCUUUCCUGGCUCUGCCGCUGUCCAUGACCUUCAUAGGAAUGAAAUUUUUGGAGGACUGCCCUAUACAGCCCCUCAUUCCUUUAUAUUUGCUAGUGGGUGGCAUCGUCGGUACCUUAAAGGUGUCUCUCCUGUUGUACGACUCCACCAGGAUGAGGCGGCUGCUGUCCAAGGCCGUGGUGAUUGAUGACGAUGACGAUGACGAAUACCCCUGGAGGCAGAAUGCGCACAGAUACUACAUCCACCUCCUGCUGAGCCUCUUCCUCUUCCUCUGGUUCAUCCUGGGAAACUACUGGGUCUUUUCUGUGUACCUGCCUGAUUUUCUUCCCCCUUUCCAGCAGCCUCAGGACUACUGUGACAAAACCCUGUACCU
rnacentral:lncRNA from 1 species